rnacentral:lncRNA from 1 species
AAAAUCUCCUUGUCCAGGCUUUGCGGGGUGGAGGAUUCAGCUCAGAGACUGCUUACCAAGCCCAAAUGCCCUGAAACCAUGAUAUUGACUUACAAAAUCAUGAGAAUUAGAAAGUAAUAUAGCUGGUGUUAUUUUUUUUUUUCCUUCUAGGAUUUAAGUCUUCAGAGUGCACAUGCUCAGGCUUUAUUCUAAGCUUUUCAGGGAAGCAAAGAAGACAUGAGAUACCCCCUGUAAUCAUCUGCCUCUGGGAGCUGAUACCAGGUAUCAGAAGAGGUGGUGAAAUCACGGUGUUCAGAGCUGCCUUAUCCAGCUGUGUGUUGCUGGCUAGCCAGCUCCAGCUUGCAGUGUCUAUGAUGGUGUUUCUUGUCUGGUUUCUGCACGGUUGGGAUGAAGAUGAGCCUGAGCAUCGGGCUUGGGAUGUCUGAAAAUCUGAUUCAGUUCCGGGUCUGCCCUCAGCAGUUCCUCCAUGGAUUAGGUGAGACAUUUUGCUUUUCAGUGUUUUUAACCUGGUCCUGAGGAUACUGGACUUUGCCUUUAUGUGAGCCGUGAGCCUGCCCUUGUCCACCACUAUUGCUGCGGGAGCUGCCAGUCCUGGGAGUGGCAUAAAACAUAUAUAGCUUUUUAUGGAAGAAAUCAGAAGUGGCUCUUUCAUAUUUGUAGGUGUCACACACCAACUGGCUUAUAAAUGUAACUUUAAUGCCUAAAAAGUUGAUAAUCACCUUUAUACUUGCAUACUAGCAUCGUUUUAAAGUGAAUUACCGACAUCAUAUAUUGCCUUAUUCCCCCACAGUAAAUGUUCUCUCCCUGCUGUAUUUUAUUACUUACUGUAAAUUCAUUCAAGCAGUAUAUUUUGCUUUCAGCAAGGUAUCCUCAGUUACUUUUUCUGUCCAGGAUAAAUUGAGAUGAAUUUUGCCCGUGCCUGGGUUUUGCUCGUGGCAUCCAUCUUUGCCCAUGAAAAGUUACAGCUGGAGUUGAAGAGGACCUGAGAAAUGAUAAUAUCAUACUGCAGAAAGUUACAGAUCACCAGUCUGCAGUCAAGCUGUACACAGAGGGCUCAUUGAAGCAGCCAGGAGUUUAAUAGUAAGUGAAAAACAUAAAGAAAUGCGAUGUAGUCUCUAAUGUUUAUCCUGAUAAAGU